AAACAACCCCCUAAGUUUUGAAACUGUAACAGUUUUGGUCCCCAAGGCCAAUUUUUGGUAGAAAAAACAAAAAAAUAACACGUGGCACCUCACUUAGGGUGCCACGUCAGCGUAGAUCGAGUCAAAAUUGGUCCUGGAGGCCAAAACUUCCACAAAUGCAAAACUUAGGGGGCGGUUU
rnacentral:pre_miRNA from 1 species